UACGUAGGGUGCGAGCGUUGUCCGGAAUUACUGGGCGUAAAGAGCUCGUAGGCGGUGUGUCGCGUCGGCCGUGAAAACCUGGGGCUCAACUCUGGGCGUGCGGUCGAUACGGGCAUCACUUGAGUUCGGCAGGGGAGACUGGAAUUCCUGGUGUAGCGGUGAAAUGCGCAGAUAUCAGGAGGAACACCGGUGGCGAAGGCGGGUCUCUGGGCCGAUACUGACGCUGAGGAGCGAAAGCAUGGGGAGCGAACAGG
rnacentral:rRNA from 1 species